CGCCGUGCCCUCGCCCCCACCUGUCCCGGGGGUCGAUCCAGCUGGUCUGCUUGGUGUUGUGAUCGAUGUAGAACACUUUGCCGUCGUAAUCCCUUGCCUCCUCCCAGCCAUCGGAAGCAUCGGUGGAAAAUACACGUACACCAUGUGUGCCCUGAACCCUUGCGGCCUGAAAAGCAGGCAGCUAAGUCGCAUUAAGUAUAGAAACCAGGUGUGAGUUACUGUGUGUUUAUCUCGCAUUUGCCACAGGAGAAGAGUAUCCCAGGCCGGUUACCAUGGUUCAGCUGAUAGAAGAGACAAUUUACACUUAUUAAGUACUGGACUUGUUCAGUGCAUAACAAAUUUUUGCAUUUUGCUUCAGAGGCCACAUAUCUGACAGGCAUUGAAGUAACUAAUUUACAGCUCUCCAAGUCCUAUCUGCUCCUAAAUAGAAAAAAGUACCAACAAGAUAUGAUUUUAAUUUAGCUAAUUGUCAAUCUGGUACAGGUAAGACCUUUAUUAUUUUAUUCAUUCUACUUAUUUUACUGUGUAACACUGUCUCCACAUGGCCCA